GAUGAAGAACGCAGCGAAAUGCGAUACGUAAUGUGAAUUGCAAAUUCAGUGAAUCAUCGAGUCUUUGAACGCACAUUGCCCCCCCUGGUAUUCCGGGGGGCAUGCCUGUCCGAGCGUCAUUGCUGCCCUCAAGCACGGCUUGUGUGUUGGGCCCCGUCCUCCGAUCCCGGGGGACGGGCCCGAAAGGCAGCGGCGGCACCGCGUCCGGUCCUCGAGCAUAUGGGGCUUUGUCACCCGCUCUGUAGGCCCGGCCGGCGCUUGCCGAUCAACCCAAAUUUUUUAUCCAGGUUGACCUCGGAUCAGGUAGGGAUACCCGCUGAACUUAAGCAUAUCAAUAAGCGGAGGA
rnacentral:misc_RNA from 1 species